rnacentral:rRNA from 1 species
GACGGAAGGUGCAAGCGUUGCUCGGAAUCACUGGGCGUAAAGGGUGCGUAGGCGGCUUCUUAAGUCUGGUGUGAAAGCCCAGGGCUCAGCCCUGGAAGUGCACUAGAAACUGGGAAGCUUGAGUACCGGAGGGGAGAGUGGAAUUCCUGGUGUAGCGGUGAAAUGCGUAGAUAUCUGGAGGAACACCGGUGGCGAAGGCGGCAUCCUGGACCAACACUGACACUGAUGAGCGAAAGCCAGGGGAGCAAACGGG